UCUCUAGAGGCAGGUGGACUGCUGGAGUUAAAAGAAGGUGUUAUGGGAGGGUCUGGAAAGGGCAGAGGGAUUAUGGUGAUAGGGAUGGUGGAGGAGCCCUCUUGCCCCUCUUGUGCGUGAUUCCCUAGUCGUUGUUCCAGGCUGCAGACUCCCCGUCUCGGAUACAGGACUACGGGGCCACAACACCCAGCAGAUCACAGGAGCAGCAAUCCUGACAUUAACUUCACUAAAAACCAAACACACACCUGCCAAGAAACAGGACGGCAUCUCACCGCCAGCUACACUGAAGGAGGUCAAGGUAUAAGGAUUAAUUCCAGUUGGACAGGUGUGAGAAGACAGCCCAGCACACGCUGACAUGUUUGAAAACUACCAAAGGAUGUACACACAAACAGAUACAGUACGUACAGUAAAAAGCAUGCUGCUUUCCCUCUACAAAUGUGGAGGUGAGCAAAUGCACAAGUGAUGAAUUUGGAUGAACAUGUAAUUACUACUUAAUUGAAACUAUGACAUGGAGGACGCCUCUGAGGAAGUCAGAGCCCAGGAAUGUACUGUAGGCUGGGGCAUGGACACCCUGCUCUGGCUUUAGUUCCAGUGACUGCUAUUUCUACUGCCUAGCACAACUGGCUCCCCAGAUCUACUCAAGCCAUGCAGAGGAACUCACGUGGAACCUCACAUGUUCUCCCUCUCUAGCAAAUUACUCGACAGAUAACGAGUUUGAUUGUCAAGUACAACCGGAAGUAUUUCAAGUUUAAUGACCUGUUAAUUCAUAUUUAAGUGUCACUUUUUGAGAGUACGCUACGAACGGUUCAUCUUUUCAUUUUCUUUACCUUUGUCUCCAAUCUAAAUCAUGUAAAUGUUGAUGUCUGUGCAUCCUGAUAUGAGCAGUAUUGUGCUUUUUGUUUCCUGACAUUUGACCAAUACUAUACCGUAACCAAACUUAACAUUGCUAAAUGUAUUAAUGUAACUGUUUUAUUUUUGGAAUGCUAGUUAAAGGUAGACUACAGACUCAGUGGUUUCAGUUUAAUGACAGUCUGUUCAGAGGUUCAGUCAAGCCAACUCACCUAGUGGUUUAACAUGAUUUUGAGAUUGCUAUCUGCCAAAUAGGAUUACAGAGAUACUUGUGAGUACUACUGAUAAUGGGGAAUAGGGCUGAUACUGUGCCUGAGUAUGUCUCAGAAGGAAUCAACCUGCUUUAACCACAUUCUUAGAAUAACUAUUGUAUUUAAUGCUCUGCAUUGACUUGUUUUAGAGCCUAAAACGCAAUGAUAACAAUGUGAGCACAAAAUCCUUAGCGUGACGAGACAGACAAUCCAAUGGAUUUGUCAUUUUGCACAA
rnacentral:lncRNA from 1 species